rnacentral:rRNA from 1 species
UACCCGCAGCUCAAGUGGUGGUCAUUAUUAUUGGGCCUAAAGCGUCCGUAGCUGGUUUGUUAAAUGCCUGGGUAAAUCGCUGCGCUUAACGUAUCGAAUUCCGGGUAGACUGGCAAACUCGAGACCGGGAGAGGUGUAGGCUACUCGAGGGGUAGGGGUAAAAUGCGUAGAGAUCCGGAGGAACCCCAGAGGCGAAGGCGGCGCUCUGGCUCGCAACUGACGCUCAGACACGACAGCAUGGGGAGCGAACGGG